CUAAUAGCACUCUGGUCUCUCUCUCCGUGACUCCAUCAUGCAGGAUCACAUGCAUUUGCCUAAGUCCUGAGUCUGUGUCUUUAUCCUGGUGACUCUGCAACCACCACUGUGACCAGCACAUAUCUGAAGCUCAGUGUUCCUGCCUGGUUGUCAGCUCUGCAGAAGGACAGCGCCUAUGGCCACAGCUCCAGGUUAAACAUAGAAGAACUGCGCACGUGUCUGCUCAGUCAGGCCUUCAUCAUCCUUCUCCUUUGGCUUCUACCAUCUGUGCUCUCUUCAGGCUCUGAGGUUAAGUCCUGUUUUGAGUACGAAGUUCAGGAAUCAUAAGCCACAGGACUGCUGGGCGCCCUACCGCCCAGGCUCAAGGAUCCACAGAACCGAAGGUGAGAAGGGAG
rnacentral:lncRNA from 1 species